rnacentral:rRNA from 1 species
UGGAGAAUAUUGCGCAAUGGGGGAAACCCUGACGCAGCAACGCCGCGUGAAGGAAGAAGGCCCUCGGGUUGUAAACUUCUUUGAUUAGGGACGAAUUUUGACGGUACCUAAUAAACAAGCCACGGCUAACUACGUGCCAGCAGCCGCGGUAAUACGUAGGUGGCAAGCGUUGUCCGGAUUUACUGGGUGUAAAGGGCGCGUAGGCGGUUUCCUAAGUCAGUUGUGAAAUCCCAAGGCUCAACCUUGGAACUGCAUCUGAAACUGGGUUUCUUGAGUUCUGGAGAGGAAAGCGGAAUUCCUAGUGUAGCGGUGAAAUGCGUAGAUAUUAGGAGGAACACCGGUGGCGAAAGCGGCUUUCUAGACAGUAACUGACGCUGAGGCGCGAAAGCGUGGGGAGCAAACA